rnacentral:lncRNA from 1 species
CAUAACAUGUAUGAUUGACUUGUAUCCCCCCAAAACAUAUAAAACAUUUGAAAGGUUCAUUAAGGGGUAUGAACUCACCGUUUAUCGAAGGGUUCGAGUGUCAACGGAUGCCCUGAUUGCCAAUGGUUCCUAUAAAUCAUGUGGUGACACACAAUUGGGUUAGAACUAGGAUGUUUCAUGCUUAAACAUGAUGGAUAAACAUUCUCAGGGAUCGGCAUUACUGAAUACUAGUGUCUCAGGAUCCAUACUUAAUGAUUCAUGCAAGUUUAGGGUCAAAAGUGGGCAUUUGAGUGAGUGCAUGGCCUAGAAAUUGAGUGUGCGGCUAAGGUGUGCGGCCAGAUGUGUGUGUGUGGCUGCACACAAGUGUGUGCAGCUGUUUAGAGUGUGUAUGCGGCCGUACAUAGGAGUGUGCGGCCGNUUUGAGUGAGUGCAUGGCCUAGAAAUUGAGUGUGCGGCUAAGGUGUGUGGCCAGAUGUGUGUGUGUGGCUGUUUAGAGUGUGUGUGCGGCCGUACAUAGGAGUGUGCGGCCGUAAACUCCCUUUGUGAGUCCAAAUGAGGUGUUUGCUCUUCACAUUAAGGAGAUUGGAAUGUGUGCUGCCCCUUCAUGAAUGUGUGCUGCCCCUUCAUGAAUGUGUGCGGCCGUACACCUUCA